rnacentral:tmRNA from 1 species
GUUUGCGCGCCCCCUUGCACUGGUCGCCCGAGGCGCUUACAUCUGUCAUGUCUCGCAAGGGACUAUGGGCAUAAACGCGCUCGGAAUAAGCGGAUCGGACCCGGGGGCGGUACCCGGCGGCUCCACCAACAUCCUUCAUUUGGGGAUCAUGGGGCCGAAACAGGAUCGACGAACGUGUAAAGGGGUUAUGCUUUGCCUCGGUGAGCCACCACCGUUAUCGGUGCAAAACGUACAGUUGCAAAUGACAACCGUGCUCCGGUAGCAGUUGCUGCGUAAGCAGUAACCA